UUAUAUUAGCACGAUUCGUGCGCGGAAGCGUGUGCAUAUUAUUCGCACAACUGGUGUCGUGCGCGUAAGGGACGAACAGUUAUUAGCACGAUCGAGUGCAACCUGUAGGGCGAAUAACAAAACCUGCUUUCGCUGCACGACUCGUGCAAAUUAAUGAGUGUUUGUUAUUGGAACGAAUUAAAUAUUGGUUCUGUACAAAACAUCGUUUUUAAUCUUACUUUUGAAGAAUUUUACACCAAAUUUAAUGAAAUAUCUGUCAGAUAAGUAUCGAUAUCAACAUAAGUACUACGAAUCGAGUUGAACAUAACCCUUGAGUUUGUUUACUUUCUUACGUUGAAAUUCGAGAUCGAAAUUCUUUUCUGUAAUUUCUCUAUUUCAGAGGUUUUCCCACCUGUUAGAAGUUCGCUUUCCGUUUUCCUCUCCCGACGUUGAUCCCACGUGCUUUCGAGCUGAGUGUCAUUCGGUUAUUUGGAUUUUUAAAUGCCUUGAUGGCACCCAAGUUCUAGUUAUCCAAACAUGGAGGUGGAGAAUCAGUCUGACUGGGUUCCCAGAAAAGAUCAAAAAUUCUCUGCAUGGACAGAUGUGGAGGAAGCUCUUGAAAAGUAUGGAGAACGAACAAAUACUACAUGGGUGGUUGGAAAUUCUAGAUUGGUAGCAGAUAAAAAUAUCACGCUAAAAGCAAAGAAUCGUCCGCUUAUUGAUGAGAAACUUAAAUAUUUAUAUGUUACAUUGACUUGUAAAUGUGGAGGCAGGAAAAGAGUGGGCAAAGGCGUUGGAGAUCGACCAAACCAAAGCUCUUGGAAAAUCUACUGCCCUGGUUUUAUAAAAUUCAAAUAUGAUGGCAAUGUGAAGAAACUAAUAGUGGAUACAUUAAACUUAAAUCACAUACAUCCUACUACUCCUGAAGUGAAAGCUGCAUUCCCUGAGUCUAGACGACUCACAGGAAAAGAUGCUGAGGCAGUACAAAAACUGCUAAAAUUGAAGGUGAAACCCACCCUCAUUCGAAUGCUGCUUGCAGAUGAAAGCUCUAAAAAGCUCACAGCUCGAGACAUCUCUAAUCUGAGAGCCUCAAUGAAAAAAGCUGAGAUGGGUGGCUUAACUGAGGAAGAAAAGCUUCUCGAUACUCUUCAACAACUUGCCGACAGAGACCCAACAUCCACAAUUCAUUUGGGUCAAGAUGACAAACGCUUGUUGGAAUUCCUAUUCUUUCAAACAUCGUCAAUGAAAAACACCCUGAGGAAGUACCCUACAUUGGUGAUAGUGGACACUACUUACAAGGUAAAUAAGAACCAAAUGCCAGUGGUAGUGUUUAUGGCCAUGGACGGCCAAGGCAGUGGCCGUGUAGUAGGGUAUGCAUUUGUUCACAACGAACUGAAAACAACACUGCAUAAAGUUCUUGACUGCCUGAAGGCUUCCAUGGGUGAAGAAACAACUGACAAAAUUAAAGUGUUUGUUGUGGACAAGGACUACUCUGAAAUUGGGGCAAUUAAAGAAGUUUUUCCAAAUGCCAGAAUCCAAUUAUGCGAUUUCCAUGUGUCAAAACUUUUCACAAAAAAGGCAAGUGGACAUAGUGAGGAAGUUUUGAGUAUUUUGACUAAGCUCAGGUAUGCCGAAGAUGAUGGCACAUUCCAGGCUCUAGUUGUUGAGUUAGAAGAAGAAUGCGACCCCGAACUUUUCACCUAUUUCAAUGACAAUUGGCUGAAGAUUCCUGAGGCAUGGUGUACAAAAGACCGGCAAGAUUGUUUAGGAAAUACUACCUCAAACCGGCUUGAAAAUCAUAACGGCAAGAUAAAGAUGGUUUUGAAUCAUGAGAAUUCUUUGUAUGAAUGUAUCAAAGGACUGCUGGAUCUGCAUCAAACUAAAGAAGAUGAUGUCAUGUUCAGAGACACAAUGGAGUCUAUAAAAUACCAGUACAAAAUUGGAAACACAGAUCCAAAUGUGCAACAAAUUCUUUCUGACUUCCAUAAACUGCCUGCCGAAUUGAUGAUUCAGCAAUUAGAUUUAUCGACUAAGGUCCAAGAAGAAACAUUAAAAGAGUAUGGAACAAGCACAGGAUCGUGUAACUGCCCAUUUAAAAUGUCUUACAGACUACCUUGUAGGCACAUGAUCCACUUGAGACAAGAAAAAGGGGAUCCUCCGUACCACACCUCUGAGAUUGAGGACAUGUGGUUGCAAAAGGAGGUUGAGGUUGAUGAUAAUACUGCUCAAUUGUCUAGUUCAAUAGUAGCACACAGAAUGCCUGCACGAAUUGUACCCACCGACACACAAGGGCGUUUCCAGAUGGCCUUAGUAAUUGCAAGAAAGCUUUGUAAUGUCCUUGGUGAGAGUGGGAGGGACCAAUAUGCCCAGAGACUUCAAGUACUAAAAGACCUCCUUGCAGUAUGGUCCUCAGGGAAGGAGGCAGGCAUUAUGACAAUUCAUUCAACUAGAAGGAACACUGUUGAUAGGAGUAACACCCUUACUACCGUGGAAGAAAUUCAAGUGAACAAUGAAACUACUAUGGUGCAUCAAAACAACUCUGAAGUACGUGAUGAUGAGGCGACCUCUUCUGCAUCCGCUUCCAAGCCAAGUACUCAAUUUCAAACAAUUUCCAUGGUCCACCAAGUCAACUCUGAAUCAUGCCAUGAUGGCGCCUCUGCAUCCCCUUCGACUUCAACUACUCCAGUUCAAAGAAUACCGAUAGUUGUGGUCACCCAAGAUGGUUCUCUACUUGAUGAUGACAAUGACAACAUUCUGAGCUCUGUAGCUGAAGGAUUGGAUGAAGGGAACAAAGGUCAAGAAGGUGAUGAUGACUUUGUAAUUUUGAAUGCUUCUUUACCUCAUGAUGACAAUGACGACAUUCUGAGCUCUGUAGCUGAAGAAUUGGAUGAAGGGAACAAAGAUCGAGAGAGUGAUGAUAAUGAAGUUUCGACUCCAGGGCCUUUAAAUCUGCGAAAUCUCAAUCUUAUGUUGCCAACUUCGAUUAAGCACAAGGGGAGGCCUAAAGGAAUAGGCAAAACCACCAACUAUUACAAGAGGAUUAAAGGCCGGCCACUCUGUUCAUCAGCUAAAAAAGGAAAUGCAAGAAAAGAAAGGAGUUUGGCAAUUUCUAAUGAAGAUGUAACUAAAAUUAAUAAGAACCUUUGGAAGGUAAGAUCUCAAACAAACAGAAAGGUGGUGUACUCUGUUAGAAUGGAAGGAGUGAACCUUAUCUGCUCAUGUCCUGACCGUAACGAACUGUGUAAACAUGUUCUCAAAAUCCACGAUGGACUUUUGGAUGAACCAGCUUAUAAAACUAUUGCAAUGAUCAUUCACAUGCACAAAGUGAUAUCAGAUCAUAAAAUUGUAUAAUCUUUACUGUUAACUGGUUAACUUUUGCUGUGUUACGUGGCUGAUCAGUGCAUUGGUUUCUACAUCUGUUGUCUAUAAAGUGUAGUGUGGUGAGUAAAUUAGAGCAUGUUGAAAGUUUACAUUUGUUACCUCAUUGUAAUACUUCCAGGAAGGUUCAGUGCCAGUAGGAACAAAAAGAUACCAAGAUCUCCAUUUAGUAUUUGUUUGGAAGGCAGCUGCUUUUAUUGUGUGAUGAGAACCAACUAACAUGUUCUUAGAUUUGAAACUAACCUGGGAUAUGUUGGCACAUGAACCCAAUAAUUGGUAAUCUUUGUUCCAGCCAUAUUUUUUCCUUUUUGCAACUUACAGUAAAAUCAUUGCAAUAGUCUCUUCUCUAAUCACAAAUCUCAUUAUAAUUAAACCAAAAUUUUAGUUACAUGCGCUGAAAUUUGUCAUUUUUGAGUAAUUGACCAUUGCAUUGAUUUUUUCUGUCUCCUAACGUGUUUGUGGUGAGUGAUGAUUUGAUGAACAAAACUCUUUGCAUAUGUGACGUGUCAUAUUUGGAUUUAGAGUGGUGAAAACUAGUGAAGGAAAGGGGAAUUAUUAAAGAUUUAUUCUUAAUUCCUUCUUUCUCAGCAGCUGACAAAAAGAAUUAUGGUCUCAGGUCUCUGUUAGUCAGCCUUCAUCUUCCCUCGUUUUCAUCCCUCAACAUCCUCCGAAUCAACCUUAAUAAUCAUUAUUGCUGUUAUUAAAAUAAGUAAGGAAAGAUUUGUACAGAUCAUAACUUAAAGCAUUUGAAUUUUUUUUUCAGAUGCUAAUGAAAUUUUCCUAGACGAUCCUGUAGGUGGUAAUGUACCAGGAGUUUGUAAAUCAGGAAAACAAAGAACCAAGAGGAAAUUGACAAAUUCGCUUGAGUCAGGAGAUUGUGAGGAGAAUGAUUCAGAAGAAAUAAAUUUGGCUG